rnacentral:rRNA from 1 species
CCUACGGGAGACUGCAGUUGGGGAUAUUGCACAAUGGGGGGAACCCUGAUGCAGCGACGCCGCGUGGGUGAAGGAGUAUUUCGGUAUGUAAAGCCCUAUCGGCAGGGAAGAAUUUAGACGGUACCUGACUAAGAAGCCCCGGCUAACUACGUGCCAGCAGCCGCGGUAAUACGUAGGGGGCAAGCGUUAUCCGGAUUCACUGGGUGUAAAGGGAGCGUAGACGGCCAGGCAAGCCUGGAGUGAAAGCCCGGGGCCCAACCCCGGGACUGCUCGGGGAACUGUCCGGCGGGAGUGCGGGAGGGGCAGGCGGAAUGCCUGGUGGAGCGGUGAAAUGCGUAGAUAUCAGGAGGAACACCGGCGGCGAAGGCGGCCUGCUGGACCGCGACUGACGUUGAGGCUCGAAAGCGUGGGGAGCGAACAGGAUUAGAUACCCCUGUAGUC